rnacentral:lncRNA from 1 species
AUGAUGGAUAUUUUUACGUUGUAGUUUUAUUUGUUUAUAUGAAUAUCUUUUUAUACAUCUGUCGAAAGUGUGGGUUACCAGAACCAGUCCAUCUGUCUGUCCAUAUGCAACACUUUGUACCAUAUGUCAAAUUUGCUGUUACAAAUUUACAUGUAAUUUUAACACAAAUGUACGUUAUGGAUUAACUGAAGAAAGCCCUCUUUUAAUUUUGAAAAUAUUUGGCUCUGUCUUAGAAUUAAGACAAUUUUUUAAAAUAUUGCACACUUGUUCUUAGAGGCUUGGAUUGUUUUCCUCAACAUUUCACAUUAUUUGAAAUGAAUAAUUUCUAGUUUGUUGUUCAGAGUUACUUGACUAGAAAACUAACACUGUUGUUUGGAUUAAUGGUGAAUAUAAACUCGCUUUUGAGUAAUCUAGCUGUAAAUGUGGAAGAUAUUCUAGUGAUUUUUGUCUGGCCUCAAAGAGGCAUAAUGUUUUCAUCAGCAGCAGCAUCUAAAAUGUGUUAAAGAUUCCAUUAGAUCAGUUUAAGGGGAAGGCCUAAUGGUUAGCCUAUGAAAUUUGCUAUGCAGUUGUAUUAGCAUUCACAUGUCUUAACGCCAUUGAGGUUAAUUGGCCUUCCCCUAAAUCAAGGUAUAUUGACUUUGAGACUUUUACUUUAAUAGUAUAAAAGUUAAAAUUUGUGACAAAGUCUGUUUAAAGCUGAGUCAAUGAUAUUUGGCAUGCAGCAGGCUUUGAAUGUUUUGCAUAGUUAACAUGUUACAGUAUUGCCAUUUUAACAUGUCCAUUUUAUUUUUGAAAUGACAUACCUGUAUUGGCAAGACAUAUCUCUGUGUUAACAGAAUUAUUCUGUAGCUGAGAUGCACUUGUUAUAUGCAAAUAGCCUUUUAAACAGGGUUGUUGAAGGUGCUAUAUAUUUUUAUCAUGAUACAUGUAUUAUAACAAAUUAUCUAUGCACUCAUAAAUGUAGAUGAUGGGUGCAAAUGCUGUGAAAAAAUAUAUAAUUUGCAGAGUAUUUAAACUCAGAUCUGGCAGUUUGGACAAUUGUACUUAGAUGUUUCAUGAUAACUUCUUCUGCCAUGUUUAUAAUGUAUUUUAAAUGUAUUUAUAUAUUUAUGAGUAUGUUAAUGAAUAAA